AACGAACGCUAGCGGCAGGCUUAACACAUGCAAGUCGAACGCCCCGCAAGGGGAGUGGCAGACGGGUGAGUAACGCGUGGGAAUCUACCCAUCCCUACGGAACAACUCCGGGAAACUGGAGCUAAUACCGUAUACGCCCUCAGGGGGAAAGAUUUAUCGGGGAUGGAUGAGCCCGCGUUGGAUUAGCUAGUUGGUGGGGUAAAGGCCUACCAAGGCGACGAUCCAUAGCUGGUCUGAGAGGAUGAUCAGCCACAUUGGGACUGAGACACGGCCCAAACUCCUACGGGAGGCAGCAGUGGGGAAUAUUGGACAAUGGGCGCAAGCCUGAUCCAGCCAUGCCGCGUGAGUGAUGAAGGCCUUAGGGUUGUAAAGCUCUUUCACCGAUGAAGAUAAUGACGGUAGUCGGAGAAGAAGCCCCGGCUAACUUCGUGCCAGCAGCCGCAGUAAAAC
rnacentral:rRNA from 1 species